UACGAAGGGGGCUAGCGUUGCUCGGAAUCACUGGGCGUAAAGGGCGCGUAGGCGGGCAUGCAAGUCAGGGGUGAAAGCCCACGGCUCAACCGUGGAAGUGCCUUUGAUACUGCUUGCCUCGAGGGAGGUAGGGGCGUGCGGAACUUCCGGUGGAGCGGUGAAAUGCGUAGAUAUCGGAAGGAACACCGGUGGCGAAAGCGGCGCGCUGGACCUCUUCUGACGCUGAGGCGCGAAAGCCAGGGGAGCAAACGGG
rnacentral:rRNA from 1 species